GGAAACGAAGAAUAAUACCCUAUAAAACCAUAAAAGACACAUGCUAGAACGGUCAAAGUGAUAGCGGUGUAAGAUGGACUUGCGUCUGAUUAGCUAGUUGGUGAGAUAAAAGCUCACCAAGGCAACGAUCAGUAGCCGGCUUGAGAGAGUGUACGGCCACAUUGGGACUGAGACACGGCCCAG
rnacentral:rRNA from 1 species